UUUGUACAGGAUAGGUAGGAGCCUUAGAAGCGUGAGCGCUAGCUUACGUGGAGGCAUUGGUGGGAUACUACCCUAAUUGUAUUGGAUUUCUAACCCGCAGCACUUAUCGUGCUGGGAGACAGUGUCAGGCGGGCAGUUUGACUGGGGCGGUCGCCUCCUAAAGAGUAACGGAGGCGCUCAAAGGUUCCCUCAGAAUGGUUGGAAAUCAUUCAUAGAGUGUAAAGGCAUAAGGGAGCUUGACUGCGAGACCUACAAGUCGAGCAGGGUCGAAAGACGGACUUAGUGAUCCGGUGGUUCCGCAUGGAAGGGCCAUCGCUCAACGGAUAAAAGCUACCCCGGGGAUAACAGGCUUAUCUCCCCCAAGAGUUCACAUCGACGGGGAGGUUUGGCACCUCGAUGUCGGCUCAUCGCAUCCUGGGGCUGUAGUCGGUCCCAAGGGUUGGGCUGUUCGCCCAUUAAAGCGGUACGCGAGCUGGGUUCAGAACGUCGUGAGACAGUUCGGUCCCUAUCCGUCGUGGGCGUAGGAAAUUUGAGAGGAGCUGUCCUUAGUACGAGAGGACCGGGAUGGACAUACCUCUGGUGUACCAGUUGUCGUGCCAACGGCAUAGCUGGGUAGCUAUGUAUGGACGGGAUAAGUGCUGAAAGCAUCUAAGCAUGAAGCCCCCCUCGAGAUGAGAUUUCCCAACUUC
rnacentral:rRNA from 1 species